CUUGUUUACUCGAAACCGGUUUUUGUGACGACAUUUGCCGAAAAUUUCGUUUCUUUUAUUGAGUAAAUUGUCUUUGUUUAUGUCUUUCAAAAUGCAAAAUUUCUCUUCCAAACAUAAAUUGCAGCGUAUUUAUCUCCCCCCCCCCCUGUGUACGAAAUAGCGUGUUUUAAAAUUGACCAUUUGAUGGUAUAAUCCUGAUUGUUUUAUUUUAAUUUCCAAAUAUGUUUCGAAA